rnacentral:rRNA from 1 species
AGUGAACGCUGGCGGUAGGCCUAACACAUGCAAGUCGAACGGCAGCACAGUAAGAGCUUGCUCUUACGGGUGGCGAGUGGCGGACGGGUGAGGAAUACAUCGGAAUCUACUUUUUCGUGGGGGAUAACGUAGGGAAACUUACGCUAAUACCGCAUACGACCUACGGGUGAAAGCAGGGGAUCUUCGGACCUUGCGCGAUUGAAUGAGCCGAUGUCGGAUUAGCUAGUUGGCGGGGUAAAGGCCCACCAAGGCGACGAUCCGUAGCUGGUCUGAGAGGAUGAUCAGCCACACUGGAACUGAGACACGGUCCAGACUCCGACGGGAGGCAGCAGUGGGGAAGAUUGGACAAUGGGCGCAAGCCUGAUCCAGCCAUACCGCGUGGGUGAAGAAGGCCUUCGGGUUGUAAAGCCCUUUUGUUGGGAAAGAAAAGCAGCAGGUUAAUACCCCGCUGUUCUGACGGUACCCAAAGAGUAAGCACCGGCUAACUUCGUG